rnacentral:rRNA from 4 species
AACGUAGGGUGCAAGCGUUGUCCGGAAUUACUGGGUGUAAAGGGAGCGCAGGCGGGAAGACAAGUUGGAAGUGAAAACCAUGGGCUCAACCCAUGAAUUGCUUUCAAAACUGUUUUUCUUGAGUAGUGCAGAGGUAGAUGGAAUUCCCGGUGUAGCGGUGGAAUGCGUAGAUAUCGGGAGGAACACCAGUGGCGAAGGCGGUCUACUGGGCACCAACUGACGCUGAGGCUCGAAAGCAUGGGUAGCAAACAGG